CAGCAGCCGCGGGAAUACGAAGGGGGCUAGCGUUGCUCGGAUUUACUGGGCGUAAAGGGCGCGUAGGCGGACAGUUAAGUUGGGGGUGAAAGCCCGGGGCUCAACCUCGGAAUUGCCUUCAAUACUGGCUGUCUUGAGUGUGAGAGAGGUGUGUGGAACUCCGAGUGUAGAGGUGAAAUUCGUAGAUAUUCGGAAGAACACCAGUGGCGAAGGCGACACACUGGCUCACUACUGACGCUGAGGCGCGAAAGCGUGGGGAGCAAACAGGAUUAGAUACCCCUGUAGUCCCUGUCUCUUAUAC
rnacentral:rRNA from 1 species